GACGUAGGGCGCGAGCGUUGUCCGGAUUUAUUGGGCGUAAAGAGCUCGUAGGCGGCUUGUCGCGUCGACUGUGAAAACUCGGGGCUCAACUCCGAGCUUGCAGUCGAUACGGGCAGGCUAGAGUUCGGUAGGGGACCACGGAAUUCCUGGUGUAGCGGUGAAAUGCGCAGAUAUCAGGAGGAACACCGGUGGCGAAGGCGGUGGUCUGGGCCGGCACUGACGCUGAGGAGCGAAAGCGUGGGGAGCAAACAGG
rnacentral:rRNA from 1 species